rnacentral:rRNA from 1 species
AUGGUUGAUCCCCUUGCCGACUCAUUCCAUCCUCCCCCCGGUGGGUCGUCCUCUUAUUCACUCUCGCGAGCAAAGAAGAAGAGAGACAGCAUUCAAGCCAGUCUAGGUUGGUUGGUGAGCCUAGUGAUAGGAGACUAUCUAGCUUGGUUCGGAGAGCACUUGUUGGGUUUCAGAUUCGUUUUUUGCUAA